rnacentral:rRNA from 1 species
GACAGAGGGUGCAAACGUUGUUCGGAAUUACUGGGCGUAAAGCGCGUGUAGGCGGCUGUGCAAGUCGGAUGGGAAAUCCCGUGGCUCAACCACGGAAGUGCACCCGAAACUGCGCAGCUGGAGUCUCGGAGAGGAAGGUGGAAUGCUUGGUGUAGAGGUGAAAUGCGCAGAUAUCAGGAGGAACACCCGUAGCGAAGGCGGCACUCUGGGCCGGAACUGACGCUGAGGAGCGAAAGCGUGGGGAGCGAACAGG